GGUACAGCAGCCUUAGAAAGUCAAUAUAGAUACUACAUCCUAUUGUCACCACCAUUGAAAUACAUUUGGAAUCUUAAGAUCAAGGAGGAGAUUGUGGUUAUAAAUGUCUGAUGGCAUCUCUACAUCUCAGGUGAAGCAUGGAGGAUUUCACAGAUGAAGUGAGUGAUACCUGAAUAGCUAUUGGAGAAUAUGUAAAAGUGAGAAACAGAGCAUGAAUCUGAAGAAGUCAUACAAACGUGAGAAAGAAGUUGAGAAAGAGAUUUUCCUGCGUAAGAAAAUGCUGUGUUUGAAAAGUCUGUUGAAAGCUUGUGAUGUGUCUAAUCCCAUUUCAACUUCUGCUAUGAGUAAAAGCUACCUGAGGCCUUCCGA
rnacentral:lncRNA from 1 species